UUCCGGUUGAUCCUGCCGGAGGCGACCGCUUUUGGAGUUCGAUUAAGCCAUGCGAGUAGAAAGAAAUUAGAUUCUUUGCGAACUGCUCAGUAACACGUGGAUAACCUGCCCUAUACUCCGGAAUAACCUCGGGAAACUGAGAAUAAUACCGGAUAGAUCACAACGCCUGGAACGGUGUGUGGUUGAAAGAUUACGGCAUAGGAUGGGUCUGCGGCGUAUCAGGUUGUAGGGGGUGUAAAGGACCUCCUAGCCAUCGACGCGUACGGGUGUUGGGAGACAUAGCCCGGAGAUGGAUUCUGAGACACGAAUCCAGACCCUACGGGGUGCAGCAGGCGCGAAAACUUCACACUGCAGGAAACUGUGAUGAGGGAACUCCAAGUGCACGCACUUAGUGUGUGCUUUUUUCAACUAUUAAUCGGUUGAAGAAUAAGGGCUGGGAAAGACCGGUGCCAGCCGCCGCGGUAAUACCGGCAGCUCAAGUGGUCGUCGCUUUUAUUGGGCCUAAAACGUCCGUAGCCUGUUUGGUAAACCUGUGGGUAAAUCAACCAGCUUAACUGGUUGAAUUCUGCAGAGACUGCCAGACUAGGGACCGGGAGAGGUGUGGGGUACUCUAGGGGUAGGGGUAAAAUCCUGUCAUCCUUAGAGGACCACCAGUUGCGAAGGCGCCACACUGGAACGGAUCCGACGGUCAGGGACGAAGCCUAGGGGCACGAACCGGAUUAGAUACCCGGGUAGUCCUAGGUGUAAACGCUGUGAACUUGGUGUCGGGGAUCCGUCAUGGGUCCCCGGUGCCGGAGUGAAGAUGUUAAGUUCACUGCCUGGGGAGUACGGUCGCAAGGCUGAAACUUAAAGGAAUUGGCGGGGGAGCACUGCAACGGGAGGAGCGUGCGGUUUAAUUGGAUCAACGCCGGA
rnacentral:rRNA from 1 species